GGGUUUACCCAUUGGUCAGGCUUAAUUGUCUGUACUGGUGAGAUAAAUCUCUACCUUCUGAGGAACUUUCAUGUCAUUAAUUUGGUGUGAUUGGAAAUCAGGACUGUUACUUUGAAAAAAUUAGAGUGUUUAAAGCAGGCUAACGUCUGAAUACAUUAGCAUGGAAUAAUGAAAUAGGAC
rnacentral:rRNA from 1 species